rnacentral:lncRNA from 1 species
UUUCUUCUUCUUCUCCAUGCCUUAAUUCCUCUUCUUCAACCUGAAUUUCUCUGCCAAGAUUGAUUUUUUCCCCCAAUUUGAAGACCCCCGUCCUCCUUCGAUUUUCAGUUGAAGCUUUCUUCACAUCUUCUCUCUCAGUUUGUUACUUGACAAUGUCUCAAAAUUUAGAGAGGAUUGAUUCGUGCCAAUGUGGUCAGGCAUGUGUGUUUAAAAUCUCAUGGAGUUCGGCAAACCCAGGCAGAAGGUAUUUUUGUAUGCAAAAUUGGCUUAGUAAGUAUAUAUUUCGAUAAUCUUUUCUAUUUCUUUGAUCUUUAUAUUGGUAUGAAAUGGUAAAUUUUUUCAAUUGAUUUAUUGAGAUAUAUUUUAUAAGACAAAUGAGGAUGUAACUAUUUCAGAUGGUUUGGGGAGGCAUUUCCUGAUCAAACAAAUAAAGUUAUUUAGGGUUUUUUGAAGAGAGUCAAGGCUUUUUAUCAAGAAAGGGAACGAGCUAGACAAUGGAGGAAUAAAUUAUUGUUUGUUAUUCCACUACUUGCCGUAAUUAUUUGGUUGUGUUGUUAUUCUUGCGAUUGUUGAUGCCAAAGAAUUUGGAAGUGGCUGAACGUAGUUGAUAGUGUAUUUGUGGGAUGGUUGUUAGUGUUGUUAGUGUUUGAUAAUGUUUUGUAGUUGGUGCCUUUUAUUAUUUGGAUGUUGUUUGUGUAACAAGUUGUUGUAGGAUGUUUACAACAUAUUUAGUUGUUAAUGUAAUUCACAAUAUUUGAAUCAUAUUUUGGUCGCA